rnacentral:sRNA from 1 species
AAAAAAGUGAAAGAUAAUCUACAUAUACAUUUUUGCAGCCACUUUGUGAAAUAAAUUUUCAAGUUGAGACUUAUUUACAGUGGCUACCACUGGCAUUUAAUAAUUGUUUUUGAUAAUUAGAAAGUAAAUCUUCGAAUUAAAUGUUUGCAUUUAACUACCUUUCUAAAAUCUCUCUGCAUUAACUAUACCAUUAAUUACUAAAAUAAAAUUUCCAAAAUAUUUAAUAUCAUUUAAAUACUACAAAAUUAUCAUUUUUGAUAUUGCUUUUUUUAUGACUAUAACAAUUCGAUUAUAAGCAGCAAACCGUAAAGAUAUUUGAUAGCAAUUAAUUACUACAAAAUUACAAAAUAUUUAGACAAUGAUUCAUAAACAUAUCAUAAAUAAGAUCAACAUUAAUAAAAUAAAUAGUUUUUUUUACGAGACGGGUUGGCGGGACGGGUUUGGCAGGAAGCUACUUAAUAACAAUUGUAAACUAUAAAAUAAAAAUAUUUUAUAGAUAGAUAAAAUUUGUAAACUUUUAUAUAUACUAACUUUAAGGAAAUAAAUUGUCUCCGCGGUAUACCGCAGGUUAAAAUCUAGUAUAAUACAUUAAUGCAUUAAGCAAAAAAAAAGAAGUUCACCUUCUAAGGAACAUUCGUGUUUCACAUAGGCUUGAGA